rnacentral:tRNA from 1 species
GCGCCUGUAGCUCAGUUGGAUAGAGCGUCAGACUACGAAUCUGAAGGUCAGAGGUUCGACCCCUCUCAGGCGCACCA